UGCAAGUCGUACGCUUCUUUUUCCACCGGAGCUUGCUCCACCGGAAAAAGAAGAGUGGCGAACGGGUGAGUAACACGUGGGUAACCUGCCCAUCAGAAGGGGAUAACACUUGGAAACAGGUGCUAAUACCGUAUAACMAUCGAAACCGCAUGGUUUUGAUUUGAAAGGCGCUUUCGGGUGUCGCUGAUGGAUGGACCCGCGGUGCMUUAGCUAGUUGGUGAGGUAACGGCUCACCAAGGCYACGAUGCAUAGCCGACCUGAGAGGGUGAUCGGCCACAUUGGGACUGAGACACGGCCCAAAYUCCUACGGGAGGCAGCAGUAGGGAAUCUUCGGCAAUGGACGAAAGUCUGACCGAGCAACGCCGCGUGAGUGAAGAAGGUUUUCGGAUCGUAAAACUCUGUUGUUAGAGAAGAACAAGGAUGAGAGUAACUGUUCAUCCCUUGACGGUAUCUAACCAGAAAGCCACGGCUAACUACGUGCCAGCAGCCGCGGUAAUACGUAGGUGGCAAGCGUUGUCCGGAUUUAUUGGGCGUAAAGCGAGCGCAGGCGGUUUCUUAAGUCUGAUGUGAAAGCCCCCGGCUCAACCGGGGAGGGUCAUUGGAAACUGGGAGACUUGAGUGCAGAAGAGGAGAGUGGAAUUCCAUGUGUAGCGGUGAAAUGCGUAGAUAUAUGGAGGAACACCAGUGGCGAAGGCGGCUCUCUGGUCUGUAACUGACGCUGAGGCUCGAAAGCGUGGGGAGCAAACAGGAUUAGAUACCCUGGUAGUCCACGCCGUAAACGAUGAGUGCUAAGUGUUGGAGGGUUUCCGCCCUUCAGUGCUGCAGCUAACGCAUUAAGCACUCCGCCUGGGGAGUACGACCGCAAGGUUGAAACUCAAAGGAAUUGACGGGGGCCCGCACAAGCGGUGGAGCAUGUGGUUUAAUUCGAAGCAACGCGAAGAACCUUACCAGGUCUUGACAUCCUUUGACCACUCUAGAGAUAGAGCUUCCCCUUCGGGGGCAAAGUGACAGGUGGUGCAUGGUUGUCGUCAGCUCGUGUCGUGAGAUGUUGGGUUAAGUCCCGCAACGAGCGCAACCCUUAUKGUUAGUUGCCAUCAUUCAGUUGGGCACUCUAGCARRACUGGCCGGUGACAAACCGGAGRAAGGUGGGGAURACGUCAAAUCAUCAUGCCCCUUAUGACCUGGGCUACACACGUGCUACAAUGGGAAGUACAACGAGUCGCGAAGUCGCGAGGCUAAGCUAAUCUCUUAAAGCUUCUCUCAGUUCGGAUUGUAGGCUGCAACUCGCCUACAUGAAGC
rnacentral:rRNA from 1 species